rnacentral:tRNA from 1 species
GGGCGAGUAGCUCAGUCGGUAGAGCACCUGACUUUUAAUCCGGUUGUCGGGGGUUCGAGUCCCCUCUCGCUCA